GCCUCUCAGCAGGUAGCAGGGUCUUGGAGAUGAACAGUGCUGAUGACAGAACAAUAGAACCACCUAGGUCAGAAGGCUCCACCCCAGGUGGUUUCAUUCACAGUGGCAGCAAGGUCUGAACCAGCCUGCUCAAGGCUGGGGGAGGCUACAAGGACAGGCUUUGCAAAGGAAUGCCUGAACCUGGACAGUAGGAGAGCUGAGGCUGGAUUUCUGUUUGAGGCAUAGCUGGAGGGAACGUUUGAUGAUCUAUGCAAAAGAAAUUCUGGAAGGAAAUGAUUCUACAGAGAGGGAAGGAGGAAAGCUGAGACCCUGAAAAGCUGAGUCUGCUCUUCACUGCCACCUGCUGUUAAUUUCAGGGAAGUCUUCACAAUGGUCAGUUGGAAAGUUUCAGAUUACGAUGACUUCAUGUAGAGAAAACAAUAUGAAAGCUCAUCUGUUCUAACAGCGCUGACAAUGCAUGGUAUGUGAGGAAGGAUGCUAAAACAAAGUCCUGGCAAGCCAAAUCCACAACACAGAAGAACAACAGAUCAAAGAUGAGGAGCGUGGCCUCGUUCCCAUAAUACAGCACACUGCUGAAAGAAUGGCCUUCAUCUACAAAAAACAUGUGCAAGAUGUGUCAAACAGUGUCAGAAAAGGUCUGUGCUACCCUCUGGUGACAGCAGAUUAAACAUGAAGUAUGUUAUGGCUCACACUAAAGUAAAAGGUGUUA
rnacentral:lncRNA from 1 species